rnacentral:lncRNA from 1 species
AUCCAUCCAAAAACAAACUCACAAAAUCAAUCACUGCCCACUACCGCCCCCAAUCCACACAACGCUGCACCGCCAACCUUAGCCGCUAGCAUCCAAAAAAUUUAUUUUGUGUAUGUCUUAACACUAUACUUACUGGAGUUGUUUUUGGCAAUUAAUUUUUUGUCAUGAAAAGAUUUAGCUUCUUCCUCAUUAUUAUUGGUUUGCUCAAUCUUUUUUCCACCAAAAUUCAGUAAUUUUGGUGUUUCACUUCCUUACUAGUGGUUGAGGAGAAUGGACAGGUGGCGGUGGUCACUGUAUUGGAUAUGGAGGAGGUGGAAAUUUAGGUAUUGAGGGUGGGGGAGAUUGAAGUGGUGGUGGGGGAGAAAAUUAGUGAAUGAGAGAGUUUCGGUGCUGGUAAGGGUUAUUGCACCUGGAGUGGUGGUGAUAAGUAGAUAGGUGGUGAGUAAACUAGAAGAACUGGAUUUGAUGGGUUGGAAUCAACUGGAAGAACUAUACCCUUAGGUGGUUGGACCUUAGUAGAUAUCACAGAAACCUUUGGUUGUUUUGGAGGGUUCGACUUUGGACUUGGUGGAGUUGGUGUAGGAGAAACAUUUGGUGGUGAGGAUGUGGACUUCAGUGUUGGUCGUGGUGCCUUCGGAGUGGCGGCAAUUGCUUUGGUCCUAGUUGUGGUGCCUUCACAACGGUGACGAUAGGUUGGCGAUGGUUGCAGUGAUUGGGUCUGGUUUUUGUGUUUGAC